rnacentral:siRNA from 1 species
UUAUUUUCAUACUCACGAUCUCA